CCUACGGGGGGCAGCAGUGAGGAAUAUUGGUCAAUGGGCGGGAGCCUGAACCAGCCAAGUCGCGUGAAGGAAGAAGGUACUUAGUAUUGUAAACUUCUUUUGUCGGGGAACAAAGGCGGAGACGCGUCUCAGGAUGAGUGUACCCGAAGAAAAAGCAGCGGCUAACACCGUGCCAGCAGCCGCGGUAAUACGGAGGAUGCUAGCGUUGUCAGGAUAUAUUGGGUUUAAAGGGUGCGUAGGCGGAUCGUUAAGUCAGUGGUCAAAUUGAGGGGCUCAACCCCUUCCCGCCAUUGAAACUGGCGUUCUUGAGUGGAAGAGAAGUAUGCGGAAUGCGUGGUGUAGCGGUGAAAUGCAUAGAUAUCACGCAGAACCCUGAUUGCGAAGGCAGCAUGCCGGCUUCCGACUGACGCUGAAGCACGAAAGCGUGGGGAUCGAACAGGAUUAGAUACCCCAGUAGUC
rnacentral:rRNA from 1 species